AUUUGGUCUUUCAUUUGUAAAUGUGAAUAAAGCGCUAUCAAUACUAUCGCUACUUCCGCCACCGCUUGGCAUGAAAUACUUCACUGUGCUGCACAACCACAGCUGAGCUCUCCCCAAGCACCAAACAAUGAACAAUGGGGUACAUGCUUAAUGCAAAGCACUUGGAAUUCAUAAGAUGCUGAGUACGGGCCAAACCUCAUUUACUGUGCUCUAUUAAUAUGGCAGCUGGAGAUGAAAGGCUACGUGAAGCCGGAACACUUGGUUAGCUUAGCGCAAGGAAGGCUGAGGCUUCAUUGUUGAUGAACAAAGGUUGCACUGGGAGAGGGACCCCAACAUGCCAGGUUUACAGUUUAUGUGGAGGGGGAAGAUCCUUAGCAAUCUUACAGAAUCAUGGAAUCAUUAAGGUUGGAAAAGCCCUCUACGAUCAUCCAGUCCAACUGUCCACCCACCACCAACGCUGCCCACUAACCGUGUCCCUAGGUAGCACUCCUCCUCUUUCCUUGAACCCUUCUAGGGACGGUGACUCCACCACUCCCUGUGCAGGCUGUGCCAGUGCCCAGCCACUCUUUCUGAGAAGAAAUUCCUCCCACUAUCCAACCUGAAGUCUUCCUUUAAAACCAUAAAUGAUGAAGCAGAGGAAGAGAUGCUCUCUAACCACAUCUGCUCUUCCCUUUGAACAGGACAGGAAGGUGUGGAUGCAUGGCUGGGGUGGAGCGCUUGCUGGUUGUCCCAAAACAGGAUGCAGGGCACUCCUAAAAAAAAGUGUUCCCAAGCCAGCUGGGUGGGAUAACCGAAACUCGGGAGUCCUGGAAUGCCGCUGUGUGCCCAAGAGAAAGAUCCGUGCAGAGCGAUGUUCCAACAAGUGGCUGCAAGAGCUCUGCAGUUAAUUAAUCCUCUUUUCCUGCAGAUCCAAUAUGUUUGAUUGACUGUGGUGUCUGCGGAGCUGAGAGCCCUGCUGAAGGCGUUCCUGCAUGUGGAGUAUUUAUCUCAGCUCCUCAGGGCAGCUCCUCUCACCCCAGGGAUGCUGCUCCCCGCUGCAGCACCGCACAGUGCUCGGCAUCACUUCUCCUCCUGCCCUGCUAUUUUCAUUAAGCUCACGGGGACUUAAUUAUCUUGCUGAGUUCUGCCCUUCUGUCAAACGCGUGAUGGAAUUGGCCAGAGUUAAAAACUAUUAGGGAGAGACAGGCAGAAAGUCAUUGUACACACUUUGGUUCUGUGAAAAACCAGGGACUUCUGAAAAGGUACACUUGAGAAAAGAGAAAAGAAAGAGAUGUGAGCAAUUAUGGGCUGGCAGGUUUGUUCUCGUGCUGCCCAUGGUUUUAACUAGACCUUAAAGCAAUGAGCAAUCAAAGAUAUGGAGGAAAAUGGAACAAAACGGAACAAGACUUCAUGAAAGGCAGUCUGUGCCUGACUAAUGCAAUACCCGAUGAUAAGAGAGGCGACUUGUUAGACAAAGGCAAUGCAGUGGCCUUUCUGUCGAUUCAAACAAAGCUUUCCAGUGGAAAGAGGUGUUUCAGCGGCUCCUUUCAGAGUUUGCAUCUCCCUGGUUAGACCUAAGUGCUGCCUUCACUAUGGUUUUGGGGACGCUGCCAGCCCCCUGCAGGCCUGCAGCCCCACCGAGGGGAAGAAGGCAGCAGCAGCUGGGGGAGGAAAGCCCCUCACAUCACUCCAUCCCAUUCCAGCUGUACACAAGGAGGGCUUACCUCGGCUUGCUGCUCUUCCCCAUAUGCAUUAUUUUAAUUCUGAAUUAUUUUUAAAACUUUCUGAUUUCCCCCUUCUAUCUGUUCUUCUUCAACAUGGUAUCCUCGGUUUAAAAAUAGCGUUGCAUCCUCCGGGCUUGUGAUCUGCACAUACGUUUGACUCAGCACAGCAUGCUGCGGGCAGGCUCCCAACAGCCUUUUGAACGCGCUCCCUUUGUAUGUGUAGGAGUGUUCUGCAGAAAAACCUCAGUACAGAGGAGGGGCACUCUCCUUCCUCGCUGCCUUCCACACCAAGGAGCGUUCACAGUCGUCAAACAUUAUUAAACACAGCAGAAAUGGGUGUUGAUCUACGCCGAGAAAAAAAAGGCAUUGAGAUGGCUGAGGUAGAUCGGAUCAAGGACCCUGCUAGUCAAACCUCUUGGCUUUGAAAAUGAUCAAGAACAGCUGCCUCAGAGAAAGUCCUCUUCAAAUAAACCCUGCAGCGGAUGAGUAUUGAAUAACUCAAUCACAGAUGAAAAAUCUUUACUCGGUUAAUGAGUGGAUUAUGCACGGGCUUGUGCCUCUCUUCAGGUAUUUCACUCCAAGCAAAACAGCUUUUUCCAACCUGGAACGUCGAUACGGUUGGGUUUGCUGUACCAUUGUCUUUGAAUGCUGCUGGUUUGCAUUAACAACAUAAGGAAUGUGAAAUCCAUCGGGACAGAGAAUGCUGCAGGUCCUCAGGGUGGGCGGUAGGUGAGCCCGCCCAGCGAGCCCACCCUGCUGCCCAGUGCUGGGUUUUGUCAGAGAACUGCAUCAGCUCGUACCUCUGUAAGGGAAAUACUGCACAUUAUUUGCCAUCUUUGCUGGCAGGGGGAGCAGAGGAUUGUCAGCAGUGUGCUCGCUGGGAAGACGCUCCUCGUUUGCUAGGAUGUGUUGCAGAGGAUCUGGCUGUUGUGAGUUGUCACAGCUGGAACUGCCAGAUACCAGAAAAGCAAGGCAGUUCAGAGAGGGCUGAGCUGUGAAUAUGAGGAUUUGUAUAUAUAUAUACAUACAUAUAUAUAUAAAAAGAAAGCUUUGAUAUAAAUGUGAGUAUAUAAAUGAGGAAAAUAAAAAAGAAAUGAGUUACAGCAGCUGAAACCAGAAAGAGCGAGCAAACGGUGAGCCAGCAAGUCAACCAGAAAAACUCUGUACAAGGCAGAACUGAGAACAUAGGUCUGCUUCCCUCUUUACAUCCCAGUGCACAGCACACUGAGAUGCGGGCAAGGAACAGAGCAGCUGUGCUUCUGUGAAAGCUGCUCAGGCAAAUGCUAUCUCAUUGAUGGUGCCAGACGCAGCUCUAUCCGCUGUGUGCACGCACAUAUGAGCAAACGCACAAAAGAGAACAGUUUUUAUCUUGUUGCAAGGAGCGUGCCAGCACAACAGCAUUUGGAAGUAUAUUUCAAAAAAUAUUUUCUGCUUUCUUCUCUCACAGUGGCUGUGUAGACUCUGCCAAAUGUAUGUGCCGCUCACUGCUGUAAGCAAGGCCUGUGACACUCCUGAAAUGCUUCUACUGAGAACAGACUGGAUUUCAAGUGAUGCCUUUCUUUACUUUGCAGCGUUGUUUGAAUGCCCUGAAAGACACAACUUGUGUCUUUGAAGAGAGCCUCGUCAUCUUCUGCAUUCAGCUCCUCAUGUCACAUCCUCCGCCACCAAUUGCUUAACACCUCUACCAUGUCACCCACAUCCCACGGUACUGUAUCAUCAACCACUGCCAGUCAGUGCUUUAUUGGCUCUGAAUUUAGUUCUUUGUCAUCUGAGAUUAGGAAUUUUAGAUGGCCUUUUUGAAGGAAUUACCUCAGUUGGGAUCUUUUCAAGGCACGAGUGUGGGUAUUUAUGUGGUGGGAACUUAAUUAUCCAUCACUGUGACACCAGUCAAAUGGCAGUGUUUAUCAGCAAUUAACCAGUGACAGAUGAACCUCCCAGGAAUAUAAAAAGAACAACACUGUGGAGUGUGUGAUGAUUUUCAUUAUAUAUUCAACGUUCUGCAGCAUGAUACAUUACGGAAAGUGCCAAUUUUUCUUUUCAAUUGCUUUGAAAAUCUAGCAGCAGGCACCUCUGGGAGGUUUCUCAUUUCAUUCAAGGCACAUUUAUUUGAAAUGGUUACGGAGAAGAAUCAGGGCAGAUGAGCAAAUGGCAGAGAAGGACGAGGGGGAAUCAUGAACAAUAGAUUUAAUUCUCAGUGCUAUGACAACAAUUUCUGUGCAAGAGGUAUAUGAAAUUAGGCAAAGUCCUGCCUCAGGAUGGACAAGCUGAGACACUGAAGUAACUAGGGGAUGGGCAAAUGCAGAAUAGGAAGCUUGCUGUGCUGGCCAAAGCAGACAGAUUCUUGCUUACACUGAGGUCCCACGAAGAGCACUUGCUAAGCACAGCAAGGGAGCGUUCUUACUAUGACAAGAUUGGUAUUUUGAACGCAUACACUACCAUGGACUUGUGAAAAAUGCAUCAGACUCCACCUCCUCUUGCCCGAGAGGGCUGUGUUGACUUAAAGGGUACCUGUCAAAGCUGUGCGUCUUGGAAGCCACAUUUUGCUGCACAGUUAAUAUGCUAGUGCUUUUCCACUGAACUCACAAGGUAUAUCACACAUUUUGUACAUGUUUUGAAGCCAGUUUCUUGUUCUUGCACAGAGCAGAGUCCUGACGUGGUGUUGAUCAAAAAAAUAAUGGCAGAAUUAAAAAUGACUGCACUCUCAAAAGCUCAGAUCUAAGCCAAAUUAGAAACAAUUUCUCUGAAGCACUCUCCCUCAGUAAUGACUGCUGUGACUAGCCACUUAGAGCCAGUACUGUUCACAAGUGUUUUACAUUAGUGGCUUUUCUGGGAGGACAUCCUUUCAUCAUGGUACAAGUGCACCUCAUUACUUGCUUUUCACCUAAGAAGAAUAGUAGCAGAGAUGGAAAAAUUCAAACUACAGUGAAAAUUUGAGACAGCCUUAAAACCUGGAAGUAGAAACACAGGAUAUAAGUAUCAAUGCUAUUUUUACUGAGUACUUCAUUAGUGUACCAGAUACAGCCUAAAAAGGACUGAGCAGAACACAAAACCAUGGAGAUGCAUUUAUCUAUACAUGUAUUAGUGUCUGACCAUACAGCACCUAAAUUCUUUAACACCAGAGACCAGAGAAAAGGUAAAUAUAACAAGAAUAGUAAAACCAAACCCGUGCUGUGGCUAAGUCUUUAUUUGCUCUACUCCCUUACCAGGAGCAGCUGUGAGUGGCAUGAGUCACCUAUUUCAGCCCAGCUUGGAGACAUUCAGCAGUUUGACUGUGCCCUCUGCUGUUAACAGAAACCCAGGAAGGACUUACAUGUCUUGGAAAUGGUCUCCAGGUGAACAGAAAUGGAUUUGUUUCUUGAAUUGAACGCUUCUUCAAACUUGUCCAAGCAUGCUUGUAGCUGCAAAAGUCAAGGUGUCUUUAUUUGGAUCUGGAGCUAUCUGCUAGUGGUGCAGGAGCUAUUUUAGUGAGGCUGGUAACAUCAGAAACCACGUGCUACAGGAAGAAGAUUUGGAGCAUAGAAGCUCUUCAUCCACAAGCGUUCAGGCAACAACAGUACUGCAAGCGGAGUGCCAGAGCCCUGCAUGAGCCAUGCUUGGAGGACAGGAUCCCUCCUUCCAGCCCCCAGACCUCCCAGCACAGCACGAGUC